rnacentral:tRNA from 1 species
CGCGGGGUGGUGCAGAGGUAGCACGUCGGGCUCAUAACCCGAAGGCCGUAGGUUCGAUUCCUACCCCCGCUA